CAAUGCUUGUCUUUCUCGCCUGAGUCGUUGACGUGCAAGGACGUCUCGUUGUUCUUCUCCUGUGACCAGAGGUGUACUCUGUCGUUAAGGCCGUGGGUGGUGCACAUGUGCCGGACAGCCAGCUGAUGGGCGCCAGACUGUAAUGGUGAUCAGCCGGCUGCUACUGCCACCAGAGCCGGUGAGGCCAUGAACUGCUCCUCUCUGCCGCCUCCAGAUGGACCAUCUGCCCUUCGACCACAUCUGAAGAGACAACUAGUGGGCCGUGUUUGGUGAACCCGUUUUGUCUGUCAGAGCCACCCCUACAGCCACACACCACCACCACCACCACAACUAGCAGGAGAGGGCAUCCACCACCUCUUCCUCCAGCAGCUGGCCAGGGCACAGGACCAGGCUGAGCAAGCAGGUGGUGAUGCAGAGGGUGGCCAGCUUGCCCGCCCCCUCCUGUUGGCCAGCCACAGCACAGCACACAGCUGCAGUCUGUUGCGGCCAGGCUACUGAGGCACAAGUCUAUGCACGCGUCCGGGACAUGAAGGUGACGAG